AGUGAACGCUGGCGGUAGGCCUAACACAUGCAAGUCGAGCGGCAGCACAGUAAGAGCUUGCUCUUACGGGUGGCGAGUGGCGGACGGGUGAGGAAUACAUCGGAAUCUACUUUUUCGUGGGGGAUAACGUAGGGAAACUUACGCUAAUACCGCAUACGACCUACGGGUGAAAGCAGGGGAUCUUCGGACCUUGCGCGAUUCAAUGAGCCGAUGUCGGAUUAGCUAGUUGGCGGGGUAAAGGCCCACCAAGGCGACGAUCCGUAGCUGGUCUGAGAGGAUGAUCAGCCACACUGGAACUGAGACACGGUCCAGACUCCUACGGGAGGCAGCAGUGGGGAAUAUUGGACAAUGGGCGCAAGCCUGAUCCAGCCAUACCGCGUGGGUGAAGAAGGCCUUCGGGUUGUAAAGCCCUUUUGUUGGGAAAGAAAAGCAGCAGGUUAAUACCCCGCUGUUCUGACGGUACCCAAAGAAUAAGCACCGGCUAACUUCGUG
rnacentral:rRNA from 1 species